rnacentral:rRNA from 1 species
UGGGGAAUAUUGCGCAAUGGGGGGAACCCUGACGCAGCAACGCCGCGUGAAGGAAGAAGGCUUUCGGGUCGUAAACUUUUGUCUGGAGGGACGAUAGUGACGGUACCUCCGGAGGAAGCCACGGCUAACUACGUGCCAGCAGCCGCGGUAAUACGUAGGUGGCGAGCGUUGUCCGGAAUUACUGGGUGUAAAGGGCGCGUAGACGGGCAUGUAAGUCAGAUGUGAAAUACCGGGGCUCAACUCCGGGGCUGCAUUUGAAACUGCAAGUCUUGAGUGCAGGAGAGGGAAGCGGAAUUCCUAGUGUAGCGGUGAAAUGCGUAGAUAUUAGGAGGAACACCAGUGGCGAAGGCGGCUUUCUGGACUGUAACUGACGUUGAGGCGCGAAAGCGUGGGUAGCAAACAGG